AUUGAACGCUGGCGGCGUGCCUAACACAUGCAAGUCGAGCGGUAACAGGUGUAGCAAUACAUGCUGACGAGCGGCGGACGGGUGAGUAACGCUUGGGAAUCUGCCUAUUAGUGGGGGACAACCCGGGGAAACUCGGGCUAAUACCGCAUACGCUCUACGGAGGAAAGCCGGGGACCGCAAGGCCUGGCGCUAAUAGAUGAGCCCAAGUCGGAUUAGCUAGUUGGUAGGGUAAUGGCCUACCAAGGCGACGAUCCGUAACUGGUCUGAGAGGACGACCAGUCACACCGGAACUGAGACACGGUCCGGACUCCUACGGGAGGCAGCAGUGGGGAAUAUUGGACAAUGGGCGAAAGCCUGAUCCAGCGACGCCGCGUGGGUGAAGAAGGCCUGCGGGUUGUAAAGCCCUUUCAGUGGGGAAGAAAAGCCUCGACCUAACACGUCGGGGUCUUGACGUAACCCAUAGAAGAAGCACCGGCUAACUCUGUGCCAGCCGCCGCCGUAA
rnacentral:rRNA from 1 species